rnacentral:rRNA from 1 species
UACGUAGGCAGCAAGCGUUGUUCGGAGUUACUGGGCGUAAAGAGUGCGUAGGUGGUGCCCUAAGUCUGUUGUGAAAUCUCCCGGCUUAACUGGGAGGGUGCGGUGGAAACUGGGGUGCUUGAGUGUGGGAGAGGUAAGCGGAAUUCCUGGUGUAGCGAUGAAAUUCGUAGAUAUCGAGAAGAACACCGGUGGCGAAGGCGGCCAUCUGGACGGUGACUGACGCUGAGACGCGAAAGCGUGGGGAGCAAACAGG